CCAUGUGCAGCAGAACACUCCAAUCCAUCAAACGCUGUGAUAUUUUGCUUACAACCAAAUCACCAGUUCUUUAAAUCCGGACUAGUUCUGUAGAAAUUAGUAUAGAUAUUUAUAUCUGCAAGGUGUGAUCUUCUGUUUAUAACCAAAUCAGUUCUUUUAAUCCGGACUAGUUCUGUAGAAAUUAGUAUCAAUAUAUUUAUAUCAGCAAGUUGAAGGAGAUAAUCUUCUUUUUUUUUCCUUGCGUGGGGACUACCGACUACGCGGCGUGCAUGGGCCGCCGAUUUCUGCCCAGAACUAUCGAGCGCUGCAGCAUUCCGGCCCACUCCGAGCUCCAACCGAGGCCGAAGCCGAACGGCUCGCGUCAGCCUCGUGAAGCAAUGGAAAAGAGACAGAAAAAAGUAAGGCCCAUCACCAGAUCCAGUGACGGCGAACGCCAGCCAAAUCGCGAACUGCGAAUCGCGAUGGCGACGAGCCGACGAGGGAUUGUUUUUUUUUCUUUCUGCAACUUGCACUUCUCAAAGGCAAGCCGAAGCUGCCCUUGCCCACUCUUCUUCUCCUCUCCCCCCUCUUUCUACUAAAAAAAUACUCCUCCCCACACUAAACUAGUGCCAAAUUGCUUCCGCAUUCCCUCCCUGCAUUCCCCUCCUCCGAGUAUCCGACCCAUCGGCGGUCCUCUCCCUCGUGGCGACGGCCGCUCCACCGCCGCUGCCGAGUGGGUCUUGGCCGGCGACGACCGCCCACCGGAUACAGCAGCAGGGUAUGUGUGCCCGCCGCCCCACCCCUUCCCCUCUCCUCGCUCCCUUCCAUGCCUUGCGGGACUGUAACCGGACACCCCUAAACCCUAGCUGGAUCCGAUCUAGCCAGCAGCCUGUAUGUAUACUCCGCGUAUUGUGUACUAGCAUAUAUAUUUGUAUGUAUGCCUACUGGUAACUUUGCCUUUUUUAUUUUAUUUAAAUUUUUUUUUGCAACAAUUACGAGUGUACUUACAUACAUGCCGCUUUACUGCGCCUGCGCGCGGAUUAGCCGCGCCGAUCGUCGCUCGUGCGCGGGGGUUCCUCGACGUAGCUAGCUCGCCGUAUGUUUUUUCGACCGUUGCUCGCCUACUUGUUUGCCCACUUAAAAGCCACUGUAGGUUCUUUGUUCAUGGCCACACCAGUCCUGCUGGCACUGAACCUGACAUGCACUGGGGCUAUUGUGCCACACAUUUAUUGAGUUAUUGUUCUUGGUUGGCACUAAGGCGCCACGCCGCCACCGCCCGCCCACGCAUUAAUUAAUCUUGCAACCGUAAGAGCAUGUCAAACAGGAACGAGUUAUGAAUCCUUAAGAUAACUUCUUUGAUAUUGUUAUGAAUCAAUACGACACAAAGUAGAUCAAACACAGAAAAUACACAGAUUUAACGUGGAAAACCCCUCCAAGGCGAAUGGGAAAAAACCACAGCGCCGGCCAGCAACAAUCUCACUAUUUUCGGGUGGUUACAGAUCGUAGGAGAUUUACAAUGAGAUAACUACGCCCCGGCCCAAGCCUUCCGGCGACGGGCCUCCGCUUUGCUCGACAACUUGGCCGCCUUCUUCAAAAUUUGGAUCACAAACUCAACAUAUAGGAUAGCACCACCUUUCCGAAUCCAAUCCUGACCGAUGUUUCUUCGUUGCAC
rnacentral:lncRNA from 1 species